GUUCGGGCGAAGGCUGUGUCCUGUGAGGAGCGGCGGGACUGUGGCAGCGCCACGCCGCCCGCUUGCGUUACCGUUUCGCUUCAGUCACACCAAACAGUAUUCCCGUCCAGUAAUUAAGUGCCAGUUAUUUCUCCAAGGGGAGAGCAUGAACGCAGUCCCUCACUACCACAAAUUAUGCAGUUGAGUUUCCCACAUUUGGGGAAAUCGCAGGAGUCAGCACAUCCAGAGUGCAAUGGAUAAGCCUCACCCUAGGAAAACAACCUUCGUGAUCAUGGCAUCUCCCCUUUCAGGGGUCAAGAGUAAGAAUACUGACCAGGCUGCUUUCCCGUCUCGUCCACACCGGAAUUCCCGUCUCGAUCUGGAACAGCUGCAGUGAAGGCCAACACUGGACAUGAUUUAAGAACAGCCGGGACUGGAAAUAUGUAACAAAGGCCUGACUGAAUACGGACUCCAGAAGUGAGCUCCUCUGGAUCAGCAGCUGUUUCCUGUGGUCCUUCAACAUCUUC